rnacentral:rRNA from 1 species
UGGGGAAUAUUGGACAAUGGGCGCAAGCCUGAUCCAGCCAUGCCGCGUGAGUGAUGAAGGCCUUAGGGUUGUAAAGCUCUUUCAGUGGGGACGAUAAUGACGGUACCCACAGAAGAAGCCCCGGCUAACUUCGUGCCAGCAGCCGCGGUAAUACGAAGGGGGCUAGCGUUGUUCGGAUUUACUGGGCGUAAAGCGCACGUAGGCGGAUCGUUAAGUCGGGGGUGAAAUCCUGGAGCUCAACUCCAGAACUGCCUUCGAUACUGGCGAUCUUGAGUCCGGAAGAGGUGAGUGGAACUCCUAGUGUAGAGGUGGAAUUCGUAGAUAUGAGGAAGAACACCAGUGGCGAAGGCGGCUCACUGGUCCGGUACUGACGCUGAGGUGCGAAAGCGUGGGGAGCAAACA